GUCCUCUCUCCGCUCCGUGAAGCUCUCACACUCCAAACAUCGAGUCCUCAGAACCAGCCGACCCUGAAACAAGCGCUCCAUCAAGCCCAGGCCCUCUGAACCAAGCAGAAACAGAGACAUGGUCAAGUACUGCACUGUUGUACAGCUUCUUGACUCCUUCUCUGAAGCCUGGGCAGUAAUACAGAACCUGCAGAAGCAAACAUCAUUUAGAAAACCCAAAAUACUUCCCUACAUGACAAGUUUCUUGUCAGAUGUUAAAUGCCGAUGAUCACAUGACGACACAACGAAGUGAAAAAAUUUCAACAUGACCAGGACAGAAGAAGGCCUGGGGAGGCUGGACAUGGAGAUGGACCAGGGACCACCUGAUCACAGCCGCUGAACAGUGGAAGGAAAACAAAAAGAGAAAUUUAUCAAUUGGUAGAUUCGUACAGACGUAAGCCACAGUUUCUCAUUACGUGAAAUAAAACCAUCACCAUGUAUUAAACAAAA